AGUGAACGCUGGCGGUAGGCCUAACACAUGCAAGUCGAACGGCAGCACAGUAAGGGCUUGCUCUUACGGGUGGCGAGUGGCGGACGGGUGAGGAAUACAUCGGAAUCUACUUUUUCGGGGGGGAUAACGUAGGGAAAGUUACGCUAAUACCGCAUACGACCUACGGGUGAAGGCAGGGGAUCUUCGGACCUUGCGCGAUUGAAUGAGCCGAUGUCGGAUUAGCUAGUUGGCGGGGUAAAGGCCCACCAAGGCGACGAUCCGUAGCUGGUCUGAGAGGAUGAUCAGCCACACUGGAACUGAGACACGGUCCAGACUCCUACGGGAGGCAGCAGUGGGGAAUAUUGGACAAUGGGCGCAAGCCUGAUCCAGCCAUACCGCGUGGGUGAAGAAGGCCUUCGGGUUGUAAAGCCCUUUUGUUGGGAAAGAAAAGCAGCAGGUUAAUACCCCGCUGUUCUGACGUUACCCAAAGAAUAAGCACCGGCUAACUUCGUG
rnacentral:rRNA from 1 species